AUUUCUAGCACCCGACAUCCAGACGAAAUACAGCAGCGAAUGGCCAUUCUUCUUCGCGAAGCCAACAACGUUCAUCAAAUGGCCAUCAGUUUGUUGGAAUGAAAUCUACACAGCUUUAAAGAAGUCGUCAACCUUGGUCUUUGUUUUCAGCGAGGCGUCACCAAAACGAUGGAGAUUUGGUAACUUGGACACGGUGCGCGCAAACGUUAGCACGCACUAGCUAGCGUGCGAGAGAUCGCGUUGUUUUGCGCAGUGUUUUGUUGCAACGAUAUUUCAAAUACGGUGUCCAUCCUGAAUUUCUGAUGCACUCAACAAAGACGUGCUCAUUUAAACAAAGACUAAAGCUGCUCUAAAAAGAGCUUAUCGGUUGAUAACGCCAAUGCGAGGCUUGUUUAUAAAGCUAACUUUGGGAUAUUUAUAUGAAAAUAUUUGUUUGAUGAAACUGUACAUAUUAUUUAAGAUUUAAAACAAUAGAUUGCUGUACUGUAAUAUUUUAAACCAUAUUUUAAGCAAAAUGUAAAAUAUAUAUAUAUAUAUAUCAACGAAUUCUUGUUGAAAAGCAAAGCGAUUUGCCUAAUACUCAGCAUAAUAAUGGUAUGCCAAUGCCAUCCAGUCAUGAUCCAG